AUACGGAGGGUGCAAGCGUUAUUCGGAAUCACUGGGCGUAAAGGACGCGUAGGCGGGUUGGCAAGUCAGAUGUGAAAUCCUACAGCUUAACUGUAGAACUACAUUUGAAACUGCUAACCUAGAGUAUGAGAGGGGGAGAUGGAAUUAGUGGUGUAGGGGUAAAAUCCGUAGAUAUCACUAGGAAUACCGAAAGCGAAGGCGAUCUCCUGGAACAUAACUGACGCUAAGGCGUGAAAGCGUGGGGAGCAAACAGAAUUAGAAACCCUAGUAGUCC
rnacentral:rRNA from 1 species